AUGAACGCUAGCGACAGGCCUAACACAUGCAAGUCGAGGGGCAGCACAAGGAGCAAUCUGAGGUGGCGACCGGCGCACGGGUGAGUAACACGUAUGCAACCUGCCUGUAAGCGGGGAAUAACCCGUUGAAAGACGGACUAAUACCGCAUAAUACUAAAUUACUGCAUGGUAAUUUAUUUAAACAUUUAUGGCUUACAGAUGGGCAUGCGCAUGAUUAGCUAGUUGGAGAAGGUAACGGCUCCCCAAGGCAACGAUCAGUUAGGGGUUCUGAGAGGAAGGUCCCCCACACUGGUACUGAGACACGGACCAGACUCCUACGGGAGGCAGCAGUGAGGAAUAUUGGUCAAUGGACGAGAGUCUGAACCAGCCAAGUCGCGUGCAGGAAGAAUGUUCCCUAUGGAUUGUAAACUGCUUUUGCAGGGGAAUAAAGUGCAUCACGUGUGAUGUUUUGUAUGUACUCUGCGAAUAAGGAUCGGCUAACUCCGUGCCAGCAGCCGC
rnacentral:rRNA from 1 species